rnacentral:ribozyme from 13 species
AGAGGAAGAGAAGAAGGAAAAGAAAGACAAGAAGAAAUGCCAAAUGUUUCUUGUUUAAAUUCGCGAAUGGCUGUGUCGAUUGGAGUUUCAUUUUUUUCACAUUUUCCUCCUAACCCAAUCCAAAUCCUUUUGUAUGCUUCAGAAAGGAGAGUCUCUUGAGAGGAAGUGAGGCGACAUCGAAGACCAGGAUGUAUUUUUUGUAACACUCCUUUUGAUCUAUCUUCUUCUCCCAACAAAAGAUAAAUCUUACCACGAAAAAUAGAAUAAGGCAA